UACGGAGGGAGCUAGCGUUGUUCGGAAUUACUGGGCGUAAAGGGCGCGUAGGCGGUUUGUACAGUCAGACGUGAAAUUCCUGGGCUUAACCUGGGGGCUGCGUUUGAUACGUGCAGACUUGAGUGAGGAAGAGGGUCGUGGAACUCCCAGUGUAGAGGUGAAAUUCGUAGAUAUUGGGAAGAACACCGGUGGCGAAGGCGGCCAUCUGGACGGAUACUGACGCUGAGACGCGAAAGCGUGGGUAGCAAACAGG
rnacentral:rRNA from 1 species